rnacentral:tRNA from 2 species
GGGGCUAUGGCGCAGCUGGUAGCGCACUUGCAUGGCAUGCAAGGGGUCAGGGGUUCAAAUCCCCUUAGCUCCACCA